rnacentral:rRNA from 1 species
GACGUAGGGCGCAAGCGUUGUCCGGAUUUAUUGGGCGUAAAGAGCUCGUAGGUGGCUUGUCGCGUCGACUGUGAAAACCCGUGGCUCAACCAUGUGGUCUGCAGUCGAUACGGGCAGGCUAGAAUUCGGUAGGGGAGACUGGAAUUCCUGGUGUAGCGGUGAAAUGCGCAGAUAUCAGGAGGAACACCGGUGGCGAAGGCGGGUCUCUGGGCCGAUAUUGACGCUGAGGAGCGAAAGCGUGGGGAGCGAACAGG